GACGAACGCUGGCGGCGUGCUUAACACAUGCAAGUCGAGCGAUGAAGUUUCUUCGGAAAUGGAUUAGCGGCGAACGGGUGAGGAACACGUGAAGAAUCUGCCCUCCACUUUGGGAUAACACAGGGAAACCUGUGCUAAUACCGAAUAUUGAAACAUAAGUGGCAUCACUGAGUUUUGAAAGAAUUUCGGUGGAGGAUGACUUCGCGGCCUAUCAGCUAGUUGGUGAGGUAAUGGCUCACCAAGGCAACGACGGGUAGCCGGCCUGAGAGGGCGACCGGCCACACUGGGACCGAGACACGGCCCAGACUCCUACGGGAGGCAGCAGUGGGGAAUAUUGGACAAUGGGCGAAAGCCUGAUCCAGCCAUGCCGCGUGAGUGAUGAAGGCCUUAGGGUUGUAAAGCUCUUUCGCCAGGGAAGAUAAUGACGGUAUCUGGAAAAGAAGCCUCGGCUAACUCCGUGCCAGCAGCCGCCGUAA
rnacentral:rRNA from 1 species